rnacentral:rRNA from 1 species
GAUGAACGCUGGCGGCAUGCCUAAUACAUGCAAGUCGAACGGACCUUUAUUUUGAGAGUUCCUUUAUAGAAGUUCUCAUAAUACUGGUUAGUGGCGGACGGUGAGUAACACGUUGGUACCUCGCCUCUAGUGGGAAGUAACUGGCCGAAAGGUUGGCUAAUACCGCAUGUGGUCUACGGAUCAAAGCAGUAAUGCGCUAGAGGAGGGGCCUGCGUCUGAUUAGCUAGNGGUAGUGUAAUGGACUACCAAGGCGACGAUCAGUAGCUGGGUUCGAGAGGAUGACCAGCCACACUGGGACUGAGAUACGGCCCAGACUCCACGGGAGGCAGCAGUAAGGAUCUUCCACAAUGGACGAAAUCUGAUGGAGCAAUGCCGCGUGCAGG